rnacentral:lncRNA from 1 species
AAUAACAAGAAUCAACUUUCAUCAUCUAUACUUUCUCUCUCUCACGCCUAACAACAACAACAAGGCAUUCUCUAUUCUCUCUCCCUCACAAAACGUGAAUCACCACCACUCCAUAGAUAAAGCACCAAGCUUUCUUUCACUCUAGUCAUGAAUAAAACAGCAAGUUCUUCACUUUGUUCUUCCUCUUCACGCAAACAUCAUCAAAAACACCAUAAACCCCUCUCUAGUAUUUGAUUAUAUUUCAGCCCUAAGCCCCAAAUUCUAUUCUUCAAUUUAUUCUUGCAUGCACAAGAAAUUCACUCAAAAUCAAUCCUCUGAAUAUCUAAGGAACUAAGGUAUGGUUAUUAGUUCUAACCUCCAUUUUUGUACCUCUUAAGCUUUUCAUAUAUCAAGUUCAUGUCUUUUCGUCACACUAAGACCUAUGACAAGAUCUAAUUUCAGUUUCCUCUCCUUCUCCUUUCAAGUCCGAAAAUCAUACACCAAACCCCAAUCUUCCAACAUUUCUUCAGAUUCUGCUUUGCAUGUGUUUGGAUGCUCUCAAGAUCACUCUUUUGGAUUUCUAUGAAAUGUGGAAUAUUAAGGACUCGAGAGAUGGAACCAUUCUUGGUAGAAUUAGCUUGAGGAGGUUGUUAGCAGCAAAGUCUGCGUUUUGUUGUUAUUGUGUUGUUCAGCCACUUUUGUUCAUUGAUUCCUAUGAGAAUUCAUGGUAGGAGAAACAAGAAUUUGGAAUGGUUGUGCAAAACCCGUAUUUUAGGACUGACCCUCACUAAUAAGGUGACUGUUCACUCUCUAUACAUCUGUUUCGUAUGGGGUUUGUUUCUAUGGUUAGCUAACGAAAUUUCGGUCGUUUCGACGCCAAUUUCAUGAAUUUUGGAGCUUUAACGAAUCCUAGAGACACGUUUGAAGUCCAGGGUUAGAUGCAGAAUUUUGGGUUUGAAGUUAGCAUCACAGUCAUCAUCUUGAGUUAUUGGAAAUUCUGUGGAGUAGCUCAUUUCUUAAAGCUUUUGAGAUUAAUCUCAUUCAGGUGGGUUCCUUUAGAAGCUUAACUUUUAGAUUAGUUAGCACCUUUAGUUUCCCCAAAUUCAAUAUAUGUAUGAUAACAUUAGUAUUAGUUAGGAAAUUAGUCUCCCUAAAAUUAUGCAUUAUGCAUGACAACAAUAGGAAAACUUAGGAAAUAAUUGUGUGAGAAGGUUUAAUCCCAAAACCAUCUCUAUUCUAAUCAUAUAAUAAUAUUUUAGUUGUUUAUGACUGGACAUGAAUGAGAUUGUAGGUGGAAACUGAUAAACUCUUUUAAAAGUAAAAGCUGAGAAUUGAACUGAUAUUCUCACAUAGCGAGCAUCUUGCUUCGCUAAGCGAACGUAUCAGAUUAGGACUCUGUAGAAUCAACAUUUUAAAUAAAAAUCCACUCGUUUUAUAUCCCUGACUAUUCUGGAAUAUUUCGUAAGCAGCGUAAUAAUAUUAUGUGAUUAGAAUGUUUAUCACGCUCAGGAACUUAAUUUCAGGAAUCAGGACAGUUAGAAUUACCCCGAGAAGGUUUUCUUUCUUUUGGGUAGGAUAACCAUUCAUGAUUAGGAAUUAUGUUUCAGAAUUUAUCAGGAUGUUUGGUCAUUAGUACCAAUAUCAGGAAGCGUGGUCAUUAGUACCAUGUCAGGGGAUUCAUUCAGAAUCCAAAAAUUAUGUAAUAAGAAUUGUAAGCUCAUGUUGUAUUCCGACGUACAUUAUUAUCGGUAAUACCAGGCCAGGCACUCCGGGACCAGCUUACCUCGGAGUGAUCCUGUUAUGAUAAAAUUGACAAGAUAAUUAUUAUGUGUGUUACACCUUUAUUGCUUUAUUAUCAUAUUAUGAAAACUUCAGGAUUAUGUCACAAUUAGACUAUUAGAUAUUCAGGUUCAGGUUAAAGUUAGAAACUAUUAGUUUCAGUUGCCCCGGUGUAGUCACCAGUAGUUGGGUAGUAGGAGCUCACUAAGGCUUAGUAGUCUCGUCCCAUGACUUUCAAUUUUUUUUAGGUAAACAGGUUAACCGGAGCAAGGACCAGGCAGGAACUGAUGAUCGAGGUUGAGCUUGGAUUAUCGGAUUAGAAGACUAUCGUCUUCUUUUUUGUUUUUAUGUUAAUCUGUUAAGUUAGAAUUUAAUUCUCUUCCGCUAUAUUGUACCAGAUUAUCACGUUAUUCAUGUGAUAUCUUGUAAUUCAAUUAAAUUAUUCUGUAAUUUUAUUGUACUCAGAUUCAAUUAUUAAUAUCUUGACUAAAUAUUCUA